rnacentral:misc_RNA from 1 species
GAUGAAGAACGCAGCGAAAUGCGAUAAGUAAUGUGAAUUGCAGAAUUCAGUGAAUCAUCGAAUCUUUGAACGCACAUAGCGCCCAUUAGUAUUCUAGUGGGCAUGCCUGUUCGAGCGUCAUUUCAACCCUUAAGCCUAGCUUAGUAUUGGGAAUCGACUUUACUGUCGUUCCUCAAAUUCAACGGCGGAUUUAUAGCAAUCUCUGAACGUAGUAAUUUUUUUCCUCGUUUUUGAAAUACUAUAAACCUCAGCCGCUAAACCCCCAAUUUUUCUAUGGUUGACCUCGGAUCAGGUAGGAAUACCCGCUGAACUUAAGCAUAUCAAUAAGCGGAGGA